GGGCCCGCACAAGCGGCGGAGCAUGCGGCUUAAUUCGAUGAUACCCGUAGAACCUUACCUGGACUUGACAUAUAGGGAAAAGCUAAAGAAAUUUAGUGUGCGUAAGCGCCCUAUACAGGUGGUGCAUGGCUGUCGUCAGCUCGUGUCGUGAGAUGUUGGGUUAAGUCCCGCAACGAGCGCAACCCCCUGUCCUAUGUUGCCAGCAAGUAAUGUUGGGGACUCAUAGGAGACUGCCGUGAUAAACCGGAGGAAGGUGGGACGACGUCAAGUCAUCAUGCCCCUUAUGUCCAGGGGCUGCACGCAUGCUACAAUGGCAAGUACAACGAGUCGCAAUACCGCGAGGUGGGAGCA
rnacentral:rRNA from 1 species